rnacentral:rRNA from 1 species
GUAGGGUGCGAGCGUUAAUCGGAAUUACUGGGCGUAAAGCGUGCGCAGGCGGUUUUGUAAGACAGGCGUGAAAUCCCCGGGCUCAACCUGGGGACUGCGCUUGUGACUGCAAGGCUAGAGUACGGCAGAGGGGGGUGGAAUUCCACGUGUAGCAGUGAAAUGCGUAGAGAUGUGGAGGAACACCAAUGGCGAAGGCAGCCCCCUGGGUCGAUACUGACGCUCAUGCACGAAAGCGUGGGUAGCAAACAGGAUUAGAUACCCUGGUAGUCCACGCCCUAAACGAUGUCAACUAGGUGUUGGGUGGGUAAAACCAUUUAGUACCGGAGCUAACGCGUGAAGUUGACCGCCUGGGGAGUACGGCCGCAAGGUUA